CCCAACAGCCAUAAAGCUUUUCUCCUCAUCAGGAGUGACAUGUUUCUGAGCCCGGGCUUACACAUAUUUGUUUGCUGACAGCCGGCUGCGUCUUCGCUCCUCUGAGCUGCAGAGCAGAGGAGUGAAGAGCUUCAGCCCACAUGUCUUUCCCCUCAGGCUGAUAAAGUGCUCAGAUAAGCUGGGAGGUGCUGGUGAAAAGUGGCUGGCCCUCAGCCCCCACGGCUACAAUAUGAAAGAGUGGCUUGUCUGGAGCAAAACAGAACAGGGAAGGUGAUGAGGCUGGAAAAAAAAAAAAAAAGUAUGGAGAACUUCAGAAGAAAUGAGAAGGAAUAAUGAUGAAGUAGUCCAAGAGCAGGAUGUGUGUCUGCGUGAGCUUGUGCAGGAAUGCUGCAGCAGUCAAACGCUUGCAGAUUAUGGGUCAUUUCCUGACAGUUAAAGGGACCCAGCUGUGCGCCCUGGAGGUCCUGAUCUCAAACUUGGGCAAAAUCGUCCCGGUGUGGCCAAGUUGCAGCCUCCAAGCGUGGGUUAGCCAUGACCUGAUGUUUCAGRAGCCUCAGUGAAUUGAUGGGUCCCARGAGAGCUGUCACAAGGGCCAAUGAACAAUCACCCAUUCAUCCCUGCAGCCACAGCAAGGGGGCAAAUGCUCUGCAGCCCCACAAAUCUUGCAAAAAAGACUGUUUAAUUGGAAUCUAAUAUGCACUGUGUUUUCCUGAUACUUAAAAAGUUGCAGUAUUUCUUGUUUUUAUAAGCAACACAUUUGAAAAAAAUAAAAAUAAUAAUUUUAGAAAAGUAUACUAAAUGUUCCUUCCAAGGCCUGUAUAUGUUUGGCCUUGCUGACCUGCUUUGAGCUUCUUCAGACGCCAAAAUGCACGCUUCCUUUAAGGACUCUGAGCCAGAUCAGCCAUCUAGAUCAGUCCUUACAUAGAGAAAAUAGGUGUUUUCACUGCGUGCGCCCAAAUUCACUUACCAUGACCAAGUCAGCCAACAUUUCCACAGCCUAAGUUUCCUCUUUUGCUCCUGAAGACAAGGAGCUCGGAGGUCAACAGAACAUCAGUUACAUUUUUUAUGUGACUUACACCAGUUGGUUAUUUAUAGAGCUAAAGCAAAUAUACAACAGAGAAGGAGAGUAGCAGUUUAGGCAAGAGGCAGGUUAAGCUAAGGAACAUCUGUCCUUUCAAAGGCAUCUCCUGCCUGGCAUGCCCAGUAUCCACUCCUUGGGUGUCACAGAGCUGCCAUGCAAGUCAAAACAAAGCUGAAGAGAGGGGAGUGAAGAACCUCAUCCAGGGCCAGUCUUCCAUGUCACCGAGUACAAUGUGUUGUUCCCAGAAAGUCACUUGACUCCAGACAGAGCAGGGUCGGUUCCACCGAGGAGCCAGGGACAUGGAAGCGCUGACAGGGGGAAAAUGGCUAAAUCUGGAAUAUUUACGUGGUUGCUUUAAUGUACCCAUGUUGAUUAAUAUGCACUGCCCCUUAUAAAAUAAAUUCAAAUUCAAAUCAGUUGUCAAAGAGUACAAAAUCUCUCCAAUCUCGAUUUUUUUUCUGAUAUUUGCUUUUCUGGAUCAUUUAGUUUAAACUGCAAUUUGUAGAUAUUUUAGUCUUAAAAAUGUGUCAUUCGGCAGUAAAUUAAAAAGAAGGCAAAUUUUGAUCARUGUGAUGAUCCCAAAUUAUAGAAAUGUCAAAAAAAAAAAGUGAACAGAAGAAAGUGGAAAAAYGCAAUGUUUUGGAAGAGUUAGAAAGAGAAUGACUAGGGAAGGGAGCAGUUGUGCCGGUGCUCAGUGGAGCACUCGGGCCGGUGACCCCCACUCUGGAGAGGGGGCUCCAACACAUACCUGGAGAAGCAUCAGAUAUCUCAGUGCGGAAGAGGGGAGUCCUGAGAACAGCAAAGAGUGAGUCUGUCUGUUUGUCUGUCUGUCUAUUUAUUGCUUGUUCAUGCCGGAGUGAAGAUGGGCAUCAGUACUUGAAGGAAAUAGCAAACAACAGCAGCUCUAUGAAAAUGGUACAUUUUCAGAAAACUGAAAGAAGAAAAACAAAACAAAAAGAAUCAGACUGUUCAUGGAGGUCASMAGGCAGAGGAAAGCAACACUGCGAGAA